AACUCCCAGCCCAAUGAAGGCAGAUAAACAAAAAGAAAAACUUGAGACUCGACAAGAUUGAGAGUUUGGCGUGAUCAUCAGAGCCUGAUUUAGAAGUCGAGUCGGAGAUGGACAUCAGCUAUUGUAGUCCAAGACGGAGAAGAAGCUGUACCGCGGAGGCUUGUAUAAAUGGAUUGGAUCCUGUACCCCAUUCUUGCAUUCUGUCUCUUGCGUCUGCGAUUAGAUCUGCUGCUGCGGUCGAUUGGUCGUGUGCAGGAACGAAAAGCAGGUGCAACUCUUCUUCUGGUGAUAGACUGCUUCUGCAUAUGUAGGGAGGGUCAAUUGAGUCUACACCGCCAAGCUCUAGAGAUCAAUUUCAGUGUGGUUACAGAGGCGAAACAUUAAGGGUGAGGCUUUGUAUUUCUUUGCUUGGCAUUUUGGAUUGGUGGUUUAAGAUUUGUAUUUCUUUUUGGAAGUGGUGGUGGAAAAGUUUUUAUACGGUGGAAGGAGAAAAGCAAGGCAGCAAGGGAACUUUUUAUGUGAUGGUGCUACGUUUGGAGGAAGAGAAUGUACUGCAUAGGUUGUGAUAUCGGAACUCGGCCGUUCAUGAACGAUCCUAUGUUCCAAUAUCUAAAACCCCAGCAGCCAUGUUGCAUUAAGACGUCAGCCGUUCAUGAACGACCAUGUUAGUCUUAAUUCAAGGGAAGAUUGCUCGGCCGUUCUUGAACGACCAUGGUUGUUUCAAAAGGGUGUUGGUUGUUCAUGAACAGCCCCCUUUUGCUUGAAGAAAACCUAUUAAUUUCCUGCUGAAGCAAGCAAGAGCAGCAUGGUGCAGUGUAUACCUGAACUACUCCUUCUAGCUGCUUUGAUUUCGCUCUCUGUUUUGGCAGAGUCUUGGCCUCUUGUUUGCUGAAUAUUUCUCUCUUCUCUCCCCGUUUCUUUUCACGUUGCCACCUCUAUAUAGCAGCAGUUGGAUAAGUGUAGCUGGGUAGUUGAUAACCCUUUCCAACUUUGUAUUUGAAUUUGAAUGAAAAGUUUAUCUCCAGCUGUUAUCUUCACAUUUUAAUUGGUCAAGCACUUAACCAACACUUGAAUAGUCAAAGCUAGCAGAACAUGUAUCCUUGACGUCAGUUGUACUUAUCAACUCAAAGACCAAAAUUUUGAAUAGCAA